UUACUUUCACUUUCGAUUUACCACUUCCGGGUACAUCGGCAGACUUAUUUACCGUUACGCAUAUAGUUUACCCGAAGAACUCGAGGGAUAUAGAAGUUAAAUUUGUUUCGGUCCUCUUCAGAUUUGAAGGAAUGGAUAGCACGGGUCAAAAAAAUGCAGAUGUAUAGACAAGGAGGUAUAUGACAAGUAUAGAAUAUAAAGUUGUUCAAUAUGGACCAUUAAUCAACUGUUUGCACUGCCUAUGAUCCUGAAAUAUCUAUACAUCAAAGAUAAAAAGGGAAAAGAUGAAGGAGGAUUUGUCCAUGAAGACCUUUAUUGCAACUACCAUCUUCCAGUUCCUUAAUUUGAGAAUGAUAUCAGAGAACACAUAGUUACAGUGAAAUAUUAGUUUAAUAUAAGCCACUGAGAAUAGUCAAAAUGUACUUUCCUGAAGAAAAUGAAUGACAUAAAUGUAUAAAGAGUAUGAUUUUAUGGUGUUUGACUCUAUGAUCUUGUUAACAUGUUAAUGUCACAAUGAUAGAAACAGAGUAAAAUAUCCACAUUUCAUUGCAGUUUUAAGUAUUAAAACUAGAUACUCUAUAUGUACCAAAGCUGAUUACACACCAGAGAUAAGGUUUUUUCAUGGAAUCACAGUAUAGUCAUAUGACAUUAUGGACAUUAAAUGACUAUGAAGUAAAGAUUAGCAAAAAUAUUAUAUAUCAUCUACUACUAAUAUUGUGAGGUAAUCAUUGAUAAGCUCACAAAUUUGCAAUCAAAGCUUUGAUAUCAAGCUGAACAUUUUUCAAUUAGAAUAUGAUUUAGAACUCUAUGAUAAUUUGUUCAUGUUAAUUUUCAAAGUCUUUACAUUUGUAAAAGGAAAUAUUCUUAUUCUUGUAUCAGUAGACAUUCACAGUGUAAAGUUACAUCGUCCAAAUAACUUAAAUAAUUCCAAGUGCUUUCCUGAAGUUUUUCUUCCACUGGAAAAUCAGUGUGAUAUAUAUGCUAAGCAGUGCACUAUAAAUUGUGUAAAAAUAA